rnacentral:rRNA from 1 species
UACAGAGGUGGCAAGCGUUGUUCGGAAUUACUGGGCGUAAAGCGCACGUAGGCGGCUUUGCAAGUUAGAGGUGAAAGCCCGGAGCUCAACUCCGGAAUUGCCUUUAAAACUGCAUCGCUAGAAUUGUGGAGAGGUGAGUGGAAUUCCGAGUGUAGAGGUGAAAUUCGUAGAUAUUCGGAAGAACACCAGUGGCGAAGGCGACUCACUGGACACAUAUUGACGCUGAGGUGCGAAAGCGUGGGGAGCAAACAGG